GACGAACGCUGGCGGCGUGCUUAACACAUGCAAGUCGAACGGAAAGGCCCUGCUUUUGUGGGGUGCUCGAGUGGCGAACGGGUGAGUAACACGUGAGUAACCUGCCCGUGACUUUGGGCUAACGUCAGGAAACUGGGGCGAAUACCGGAUAGGAUCUCCCGCAGCAUGGUGGGGGUCGGAAAGUUUGGGCGGUUGGGGCUGGACGCGCGGCUUAUCGGCUGGUUGGGGGGUUAUUGGCUUACGAGGGCUGUGACGGGUAGCCGGCCUGAGAGGGUGACCGGCCACAUGGCUCCUACGGUACGGCGCAGUCUGCAACGUGCGGCAACGGAGGGGAGUAUUACACAGUGGGCCGAAGCCUGAGGAAGCAGCGCCGCGUGCGGAAUGCCGGCCUUCUGGUUGUAAACCGCUUUCGCCUUAGACGAAGCGUGAGUGACGGUAACGAGUAAAGAAGCCCCGGCUAACUACGUG
rnacentral:rRNA from 1 species